UUUCUUCUCUUGCUUGCAUACAGACGGAAAUGAAGCGGAAAUACUUCAAAAUCGAAAAGAAAGUGGUUAAUCCUGUUUCGAAUCUGCGAGAGGCCAGCACUCAAAGCACAGUGGAUAAAGAACUGUCUAGCUCAGAGGAGUUCUCCGACAGCGUUAUGAAGGUCUUUGAGAAAACAACCUUCCUACAGCGCUUGACUGAGGAGGAG